rnacentral:rRNA from 1 species
UACGUAGGGUGCAAGCGUUAAUCGGAAUUACUGGGCGUAAAGCGUGCGCAGGCGGUUGUGCAAGACAGAUGUGAAAUCCCCGGGCUCAACCUGGGAACUGCAUUUGUGACUGCACGGCUGGAGUGCGGCAGAGGGGGAUGGAAUUCCGCGUGUAGCAGUGAAAUGCGUAGAUAUGCGGAGGAACACCAGUGGCGAAGGCGAGUCCCUGGACAACUUCUGACGCUGAGGCACGAAAGCUAGGGGAGCAAACAGG